GUAGGGAAUAUUGGGCAAUGGAGGCAACUCUGACCCAGCCAUGCCGCGUGCAGGAUGACGGCCCUCUGGGUUGUAAACUGCUUUUAUACGGGAAGAAAAAAUACUACGUGUAGUAUACUGACGGUACCGUAAGAAUAAGGAUCGGCUAACUCCGUGCCAGCAGCCGCGGUAAUACGGAGGAUCCAAGCGUUGUCCGGAUUUAUUGGGUUUAAAGGGUGCGUAGGCGGAUCUUUAAGUCAGUGGUGAAAGCCUGCAGCUUAACUGUAGAAUUGCCAUUGAAACUGAAGAUCUUGAAUGUGGUUAAAGUAGGCGGAAUGUAUCAUGUAGUGGUGAAAUGCUUAGAUAUGAUACAGAACACCGAUAGCGAAGGCAGCUUGCUGAACCAUUAUUGACGCUGAGGCACGAAAGCGUGGGGAGCGAACAGGAUUAGAUACCCUGGUAGUCC
rnacentral:rRNA from 1 species